AAGAUGCAGUGGAACUAGAAACAGGAAACCACAGAAGAGAAACUGUUUCUUUAUCUUGCUCCCUGGCAGUUAUUCCUGUUAUAACAGCGAGAGAGGGAGUGAGGCGGGUUUUGUCAGAUAAGCGGCAAGAGGUGCUUUGAGAGGUUGAGUACAAACUCCCUGAACAUUUAGAAUUCAUUUUGAGGAGAGAGAACAUUUCAGGACUAGUGAGAAAGGUACUGAUGAGGAUUCAGUAAGGAGAUUCUGGCAUGCCUGCGGCAUCUAAACCCUGAAGGCCAACCCUGAAUUGUCAACUGUUAAAUUUUCCACCCUCAGCUCUUCUAGAAGAGUUCAUGACAACAGAAAAGAGAGCGUUUGUUGAGAACGACAGGUGUUGAUCUCACGUGGGUCAUUGCAAGUAUACCUUUUUACUCUUAUUCAGGCAUUCCUCAAAACGCGCGAACAACAAAGCGAGAAGCAACCCAAACUCUUUCUUCUUCAAGGGAAAUUAAGUUGAUAGCGUCGUCAAAAGGAUCAUUUUUAUCUCAUUGUCCCUAGCAUCAACAGUUAGUAAGCAAAUAACCAUUCUAGGAGCUUCGCUGCAAAAUGGUAACCAUGAGGACACUGAUUCUGCAUUCUUCUACUGAGAAAGAUGUAUUUAAAUGCAUGGUCUAAGAAUAGAGAUAUUAAAAUGACCAAUGAGCAGACCCUGGUGUCGGUAUUGCUGGAGAUGUACACAGCAGGGGACGUUGUCUAGGUUCCCUGUCUACGAGCAACUCUGGAAGGGUCCCUUUUCCAUAGGCACCUGUUGAAAUCCUUCCCUUAUUCUCCAGCUCCAAGGACCCUUCUUCUAAGAAGUUUUAUAAGAUUCUUCAGACACAAUUAACUGUUCCUUUCUCCAAAUUCUUUAGUGUUCAUCAACGUCUUCCGAUAACAGACUGAGAAGUGUCUGUCUUGUGUAUCUACCGCAGGCACUAGUAUGUUGCACAGAGUAGUUGUGGGAAAUAAAGGAUCUUUCUAGUCGCGGUCUCUUCUCGCCCUCUGCAGUGCUCAGGGAUUCUGUCACUCUCCUCUCUCCAGGUCGGCUACCAUGCACUGCACCUGGUGUGUUCCUUCCAGGGGGACAGGACAGAAAGCUCCGAUCUCUCCUUCCUUGCUAGCUGCCCCCGAUAGACUCUUUGUUGUCAAGGCUGUCUGCUAAUCGUUCCAAGAGAAACAGACAGAAGAGAGUGACAGGAUUACGCGGUCAGAUCCGGGAAGCCUGUCUCGGGUUGAGCGAGAGCCAAUAGGCACCAUGAAAUGGAUCAAGGUGUCAAGACCAAGGGUAGAGAAGUACCUGAAGUGUCAUACUCGACAGGGAAGCAGACAGGGAGUGGCCAAAGAUGACAGGUGUCUCCAUGAAGGAGGCGGGGACCUAGGAGCAGACAGAGUACAGGACCCAAUGCAGGAUCCACAUUCAUUUCUCCUUUUUCAUCUCCAAUCUGGGAAAUACUCGGACUCUUUGAAGAAUUGUACCGGCCAGGUUUACUUAUUUAUUUUGAGAGCGAGAGAAAUUGUGAAUGGAGGAGGGGCCGAGAGAGGGAGAGAGAGAGAGAAUCCCAAGCAGACUCUGCACUGUCAGCACGGAGCCAGAUGCAGGGCUCGAACCCACCAACCAGGAGAACGUGAUUGAACCAAUGUCUGCAGCUUAACCAACUGAGCCACCCAGGCACCCCUGCAGCAACCUUAUGACCAUGAAGGACAGAUAAAGGUAGUGGCAUUGCUCUUCACGUCUUUAGACUGAAGAAGCAAAACCAAUAACCAUUGACUUUUGAACAUCUUGCUGUGCAGGAAUACAAAUCCAUGUUGGUGGAAGCCAUUGUAGCCGGAUUCCUCCUACCUGUGUGGCUAAAAUAUUCCUGACUCACACUCCAAUAGACCAGAGAAGCCAAAAUUGCUCUUUGAUCUAUUCAGAAAAGCUUCAUCGAGAAGGGAGAUUGCAAGAUCAUUUUUACACCAGGAGAAAUGAAUGGAGAUAUCUGCAUUAGAAGAAAUGGAAACUCCCACAAUUCAGUGCUGCUUUGGAUGCUGUUUGCAGGUGGGGAUAAGAGAAGCAAAAUCAAGGCAGCUCAUUUCUAGGCUAUGCCAAUGGACAGGGUGUGGGAAGGCCAGACAUGAGUACGGUGACAAACACGUACUCGUAGGGCUUUGAGAGCUGGAAGUAUGAAGGCCCAGUUCGUAAUGCGACUGGGAAACAUGGGAAUUAGGUGAAGAUAAGGCAGUAGGCAGGUCAGAAACAGAGGUACCGUAAAGAUAAAAGGAAAACACUUCAGAAGCCACUGGAGACGUCAUGAAAUUUGAGGGCAUUUAGGGCAGAGCGGAAAGCUUAGUGCACAUGGGUUCAGAAAGCUGGAAUUCAGAGGUGCCUGGGUGGCUAAGUCGGUUGAGUGCCUGACUCUUGAUCUUAGCCCAGGUCAUGAUCUCAGUCUGUCAGUUCCAGCCCUGUCUUGGGCUCCACACUAACAGCACAGAGCCUGCUGGGGAUUCUCUCUCCCUCUUCCUUUGCCCCUCCCUCCCUCUCUCUCCCUCUCUCUCUCUCUCUCAAAAAUAAAUACGGAAGCUUAAAGAAAGAGGUUGCAACUCAAACCUCGUUUCGCCUACAUACCAGUUGAAUAAAGCGGCCAAUUCAUGCUCUUUCGGAAUCUGUUUCCUCCCUCUCUGAUAAUAAAAGAAAUCGUAUUUCCUUUUGCGAGGUAGACACCUCAAGAGAGGUAUGAGAUGAUCACUCAAGUGGAGGACCAAGUUGUAGCCCAACUGCAGGGUGAUUUUGUACAUGUCGUCCAUAAACGUGGAAGAGAGUUCUUUAAGCUGUAUUUUCCCUUUCACUGAGUCUCAACAAGAAGGGAUGAUUUCUAAUACAAGGUGCACCUCCUUUCUCAGGGUUUUUCGUGUGCCGAGGUUUCGAUGGUGUUGAAGAAAAACCUCUGACUUUCUGCUCUCUUUCAGAAGCAAUGCCAGCAAAGUCCCUUUCACAUAAUCUUAGCAGGUUAGACCCCUCAUAGUUUUCAAGCCAAUAGUAGUUGAUGAAUGUUACAUUUUGGUCUUUUCACCUUUUUUAAUUGGGGAACCUUGUGUAACACUCUAUUUUUGGUUCUAGCACCUUCACUAGUAGGGGUUACAACUCAAAGCCAAACUCAUUCAGCCAACAGCCCUAAAAAUACUCUUGGUUUCUGCCAGUCAAUUUUCUUCUAUUUUCACAAUUAGUGGUUCUGCCUGGAAACUGCCUGCCAACAUGCAAAUCUCUUCCAAGGACUGAUGGAAAUCUGAGAAUGUGCUAAGCUGUGUAAGGUUUAAGAGCAACAUUAUUCAUUCACUAUUUGAAAUAUUUAAACACAUGUAAAUCAAAAAAAAAGGAUGAAAUCUCAUUAUAAGAAAUGAAUGGCUGCUUUCCACUCUUUCUACAAUAUAGUCUUGAUAUCCAUUUACAUGCGGUUUGUAAUAUUAAUAUUAUCGUAGUGAAAUAAAUCACAUCCUUCACUUUUACAUUUUUAAUUACAUUUUACUGCAUUUGUUCUUUUGUUUAUAGUUAACUAAUAAAAUAUUUAUUACAUCUUACAUAUAUGAUGGCGUUUCUGUAUUUUAAUCAGAUUUCACACAUAAUCUUUCCUCCCUCUUUUAGUAUCUUUUUUAUGACCUUACACACCACAGGAUGUUGUUUUGUGGAAAACCUCAUUAUUUUUUAAUGCAUGGCUAUUUA